rnacentral:rRNA from 1 species
GAUGAACGCUGGCGGCGUGCCUAAUACAUGCAAGUCGAGCGAACAGACGAGGAGCUUGCUCCUCUGACGUUAGCGGCGGACGGGUGAGUAACACGUGGAUAACCUACCUAUAAGACUGGGAUAACUUCGGGAAACCGGAGCUAAUACCGGGUAAUAUAUUGAACCGCAUGGUUCAAUAGUGAAAGACGGUUUGCUGUCACUUAUAGAUGGAUCCGCGCCGCAUUAGCUAGUUGGUAAGGUAACGGCUUACCAAGGCAACGAUGCGUAGCCGACCUGAGAGGGUGAUCGGCCACACUGGAACUGAGACACGGUCCAGACUCCUACGGGAGGCAGCAGUAGGGAAUCUUCCGCAAUGGGCGAAAGCCUGACGGAGCAACGCCGCGUGAGUGAUGAAGGUCUUCGGAUCGUAAAACUCUGUUAUUAGGGAAGAACAAAUGUGUAAGUAACUAUGCACGUCUUGACGGUACCUAAUCAGAAAGCCACGGCUAACUACGUG